rnacentral:rRNA from 1 species
UACGUAGGGCGCAAGCGUUGUCCGGAAUUAUUGGGCGUAAAGAGCUCGUAGGCGGUCUGUCACGUCUGCCGUGAAAACCCGAGGCUUAACCUCGUGGCUUGCGGUGGAUACGGGCAGACUAGAGGUAGGUAGGGGAGAACGGAAUUCCCGGUGUAGCGGUGAAAUGCGCAGAUAUCGGGAGGAACACCGGUGGCGAAGGCGGUUCUCUGGACAGUUCCUGACACUGAGGCACGAAGGCCAGGGGAGCAAACGGG